CUGACUUCCGAGGCUGACUGACUACCACUACCAGUAUACGCUAUUCUGAGAAAAAAUGGGAAACCGUAACUCUAGCGAUGAGGAAGAAUCUCAUUCAUCUAGCCCAAAAAAUAGCGAUGAGGAAAUAGAUCAUUCUUCCUCCACCAAGGAGGAAGAAGGCGAAAGGCCGAGCUCAGAUAAUGCCGUAUCAGAGGAGGAAGAGGGGGAUACGAAGAAAAAAAAGUUCAACUGUAGUAAUUGCCAAGCGGCAUUUAAUAGGAGGGUUGAUUUAAAGCGCCACCAAGUGGUGCACUCGAUUUUGCGGCCAUAUGUGUGCGACAUAUGCCUGGCAUCCUACAAGCGGAAAGACCACUUAUACAGACAUCACAGAAGGUGGCACCAGCCGCCUUCAACAGCACAGGCAACUACGCAAACUGAGACCUCAACCGACGACAGCUCCAGCGAGGAGUAGAUGUCGGUAUUGUGAUCGUCAACAAAUAUUAU